rnacentral:rRNA from 1 species
CUACGGGGUGCUGCAGUGGGGAAUAUUGCACAAUGGGGGGAACCCUGAUGCAGCAACGCCGCGUGGAGGAUGACACAUUUCGGUGCGUAAACUCCUUUUAUAUGUCAAGAAAAUGACGGUAGCAUAUGAAUAAGCACCGGCUAACUCCGUGCCAGCAGCCGCGGUAAUACGGGGGGUGCAAGCGUUACUCGGAAUCACUGGGCGUAAAGGACGCGUAGGCGGGUUGGAAAGUCAGGUGUGAAAUCCUACAGCUUAACUGUAGAACUGCACUUGAAACUUCUAAUCUAGAGUAUGGGAGGGGGAGAUGGAAUUAGUGGUGUAGGGGUAAAAUCCGUAGAUAUCACUAGGAAUACCUAAAGCGAAGGCGAUCUCCUGGAACAUUACUGACGCUAAGGCGUGAAAGCGUGGGGAGCAAACAGGAUUAGAUACCCGGGUAGUC